CAUGCUGGACACCUCUGCUGCCCAAAUCGCAUGCAGGAAGGAGAGGAAGAGGACAGAGGAAGCGGUGAGGGUUUGCCACCCAACGGUUUCUCUCUUUUAAAUCUCGGUGCCCUGGGCCUUUUCCCAGACUGGAAAGCCACAAAGAACAUGAUCCGAUUUGAUUGGAAACUAAACGUAUAGUGUUGUAUAGAGAUAACAUGCACCAAAAUCUCAAGAUUAUCCCUUCCCUGUGGGAGCUGCAGGCACUUGUACACAUGACCAGCUCUGUGUAAUGUCCUCCUCCACACACGACAGAAGUAUUUGGGGUGUAAGGGAGUGAAAGAAGGAGAAGGUGGUAAAUUUCUCUUCUUGGCUUUCAUCACUUGAAAGCUGAAGCCCAGCAUGGGCAGAAGGCACUUUUGUUAAAGGCAUGUGCCUUGUAAAGGCUGCUUAUAGUACUGGGCCAUACCUCCUCUUUGGGCUACAGUGAGGCCCUGGGGGAUCUGGCAAAGGCCCUUCUACACAGAAGCCCUCACCCCACAACGACUUGAGCAGAAGCUUCAGUUUCAUACACUGUGAGCACAUCCCCAGAGAACAAACCUGGUGCUAUAAGCAGGACAAAAAAAAAAAAAAAAGCCYUUCAGCUUUCCACCGCGGGAGGACAUCGAGGGGCAGCAGGAGCACAGAAAGCAGCUUCUCUGCUUCUCUCCCUCCUCACCUGCUGCCUUGGUUUCCCUGGCGACGGCAGCUCUCACAGCUCAGGGCUUCUCUGCAGCUGCCAGGCCACAGCGCGGGCUGAAAACACCCCUCUGUGUCCCGGGGGCUCACAAACAGCCCCUGCCCCCACCCGCCCCCCGCGCACAGCUUUCUUGCCCCUCCCGGCUCCUCCCAGCCCAGCCGCCCCUCACGCAGACUCGCCCGCACCCCGGGGCACAGUGGGGCCCUGUGGCAGCAGCGCCCUGGCAGCAGCGUUUCCCCAUCGACUCUCCCCUGCAGCACAACUCCCGCAGCCCAGGGCCAGCCCAGCGUCGCUCCCCCUCGCUCCCUGCCCUCCGCCCCGGCCCGGCCGGCAGCAGCCGCCGCAGGCUCCAGCCACACGAGCACACGCCGGGCCGCAGCGUCGCUCCGGGCUCCCUGCGCAGCAGCCGCCAACACACGCCGCUGCUGCAGCUGCUUCUCCGCGGCCUCGACAGCGGCGCCGUGGUGGGGCCCAGCGGGGGCGGGGCCAGAGGGCACCGGGGCCGGCAGCCCUGGACACGCAGGCCCCGCCCCCUCACAGGGCCGGAAGUGACGCCUCCCGCAGAGCAUGCGCAGUGGCACAGAGGAGGGCGGCUGAGGGGCGGGGCAGGGCAGGGCCGGGGCUGCCCGGGCCCUGCGGGGAGGGAGGGGCCGAGAGGUGGCUGGCUCUCAUAGUGCUUCUCAGCUUCCCCAAAUCCUCCUGCCUCUUUGAAGGCCCUUUCCCCCAAAGAAGGCUCCCUAAAGCCCUCAGUCAGCCAGCCCCUGCCUGUCUCUGCUCUCACCACCCUCCACUCAGCAUCAGAACCC
rnacentral:lncRNA from 1 species